rnacentral:tRNA from 1 species
ACUUUCAAAGGAUAACAGACUUCCACUAAUUUUAGGAAUUAGUACUUCCCGGUGCAACUCCAGGUGAAAGUA